CCUACGGGUGGCAGCAGUGAGGAAUAUUGGUCAAUGGCCGCAAGGCUGAACCAGCCAAGUCGCGUGAGGGAUGACGGUCCUAUGGAUUGUAAACCUCUUUUUUCAGGGAGCAAAGGGCGCCACGUGUGUCGUUUUGCGAGUACCUUAAGAAAAAGCAUCGGCAAACGCCGUGCCAGCAGCCGCGGUAAUACGGAGGAUUCGAGCGUUAUCCGGAUUUAUUGGGUUAAAAGGGUGCUCAGUCGGUAUGUCAAGUCAGCGGUAAAAUUUCGGGGCUCAACCCCGGCGUGCCGUUGAAACUGGCGGUCUUGAGUGAGCGAGAGGUAUGCGGAAUGCGUGGUGUAGCGGUGGAAUGCAUAGAUAUCACGCAGAACACCGAUUGCGAAGGCAGCAUACCGGAGCGCAACUGACGCUCAUGCACGAAAGCGUGGGGAUCGAACAGGAUUAGAUACCCUUGUAGUC
rnacentral:rRNA from 1 species